GAGUGUGGUAUGGUGGUAUAUUGAAGUUUUUAAGAGAACUAUUGGUCGAUGUUGGCAGACGUUGACUGACGUUGAACAGAAGGCUGUACAUUACGUGCAACCAGUACACCGUAACGUUUAAAAUUGCCACGGGAUUAAACUCAAAGAAAUCGUCGAUGGUAUCAGCAUUUCUGAUGAGACUACACGCGAUUGAAUUAUCUUUCCUGGUGGUUAAUGUGGAAAUUAGUUUAUCGUGUGUCUGGUGGACGGAAUGCUGAAUGUAAUGAGAUGUUUCGUAAUAACAUGUUAUUAAAGCAGUGAGUGUUGUUAAUGAACAUAGGAAAGUGUGACUGAACUGAAAAUUUCAACUGUUUUAUUGGGGAAUCAGGAAAAUUUUUAUAAUAG
rnacentral:misc_RNA from 1 species